GUACAGGAUAGUGGUGCCCAGUAGUUUGUGGUGACUACUCAAGAUUUGGAUGCCCUUGCCGUGAGCCACUUCAAGCAUCUGCAGCAAUUUGACAGUUUCUCACUGUUGAUCUUGUUGGCUGCUGCUGCUGCUUGGAUAACUGACCUCAAAAGUCUUGGACAACUAAGGGUGACUGCUAGUAGCAGCUGGAUGACUACAAUGCAGCACUCCAGGAGAAGUAUCCAGAUAGUUGGCAAGAGAAACCUUUUGAUGGGCAGAUAGCAUAUGACGUUGAUGGUGGCUUGUCCAAUGGUCGUCUUGCAAUAGGAGAUGGUGCUGUCAAGAAGGGUCCAAUUAUUGAUUCUGCUAAGGCAAGUGAGAUAAGGCCAUCAACCUCAAGGUCUUACCAAAAUCUCUUCAGAAGGUAUGAGGAGGAAGUUCAGAACAACCGUCGCUUAACUCAACAAAAUGCAGUCUUGACUCGACAUGUGAAGCGGACGGAUCGUCUACUCGAGUUCAUUGCUAAAAAAGCCAACAUAGUUAUACCGCCUGACAUGCUUGUGGAGGAACAAAAUGACAUGAGAGAGACUGGAGAUGGAUCCUCCCAUGCUCCAACCUACUUGGACAACAAUAGUGACGGUCACUGAGUAGCCUUCUAUUGUGAUGAUAUCUGUUUUCAAGGCGUCGCUUGCGUCUAGGUGGUAAAAAAACCUGGGCGUCGGCGUCGCUUAGCCAUUCCUCGCCUUGCCGCCAUUCCAGAGCUGCGUCGUCGAGGGUCGGAGCCGCGCGCGCUGCCUCCUAUCCUUUCUCCUCCGGUCUUGCAUCGUGCGGACGUGGGCCUCCACCGGACAGAGAGAGUCUGCGGCCGGAAGAGGAGGCAGGGGUGGGCGGCGGAGGUGGAGGAUGUCAGACCCGGGGCAGCGGGACUGCUCACAGGCGUGGAACAUUCUAGAGUACGCGGGACUCCACCGGACAGAGAGAGUCCGC